rnacentral:rRNA from 1 species
AUUGAACGCUGGCGGCAUGCCUUACACAUGCAAGUCGAGCGGCAGCGCGGGGGCAACCCUGGCGGCGAGCGGCGAACGGGUGAGUAAUACAUCGGAACGUGUCCUGUCGUGGGGGAUAACCAGUCGAAAGACUGGCUAAUACCGCAUGAGAUCGAAAGAUGAAAGCGGGGGACCGCAAGGCCUCGCGCGAUUGGAGCGGCCGAUGUCGGAUUAGCUAGUUGGCGGGGUAAAAGCCCACCAAGGCGACGAUCCGUAGCUGGUUUGAGAGAACGACCAGCCACACUGGGACUGAGACACGGCCCAGACUCCUACGGGAGGCAGCAGUGGGGAAUUUUGGACAAUGGGGGCAACCCUGAUCCAGCCAUGCCGCGUGUGUGAAGAAGGCCUUCGGGUUGUAAAGCACUUUCGGCCGGAACGAAAUCGCGCGGAUUAAUAAACCGCGCGGAUGACGGUACCGGAAGAAGAAGCACCGGCUAACUACGUGCCAGCAGCCGCGGUAACAC